GCGGAGUUAGCUCAAUGGAUAGAGCAACAGUCUUCGGAACUGUAGGUUGGGGGUUCGAGUCCCUUACUCCGCGCCA
rnacentral:tRNA from 1 species